rfam:Salmo salar isolate Sally breed double haploid chromosome ssa13, whole genome shotgun sequence.
UAUAUUCACUACUGUAAGUCGCUCUGGAUAAGAGUGUCUGCUAAGUUACUAAAA